UACACACACACACACACACACACACACACACAAAGGUUUCAGAAGAAAGAGAGCCGUGGUUGCUUUGGAAAAAAAAAAAAAGGGAAUGAAUGUGAGACUGGAGAAGAGUAGAAUCUCUGAGACCAACCCUGUCUCCUUCCUAAUAACUGGGCUGAUCAUCUAGCAUGUCACCAAGUUGGGGUAUUUGAGAGUGAACAGGGAUACCAUUACUACUAUGCACAAGUGACAUGAAUACUUGAUCUUCCCAAGCAAAUCAGGGUAUAUGAUCCCCCAUCCACAGCUAUGCAGGUGCCUGGACUUAUUUCCUCACCUAUGGCUUAAUCCAACAAGCACGGACUCAGCUAUUUCUGUGUGUGGCGAUUUGGGAUACCACAGUAAGCAAAACCAGCCCAGUGAAACCUUCGCUUAACCAAUGGCCCAGGGAAGGAGAGCAGUAUGUGCCGAUUUAUGUCAGUGGCUGCAGUGGCUCCACAGCCCUGUGAGGCGACCUUGUCAGAGCGCUGCUGUGAUACACUCCCUGGAUUCCGCAGCCCUCGGCUGACACAGGUGAAAUUGAGAAAGAGGUAGGAAGGGUUCCAAGGAGGGGUGACAGCGUCGACCUGCUGGGCUUUCUCAUCCUCUAACCACCUCUGGCUAACAUCCUCCUGCCAGGGGAACAGUUCCACCCCCUGGGCUGAGCCGGUGCCAAACAACAGGUGGUAGUCAAGGUAAACAGGGCAAUAAAGUUCAUCAAGGUUAAUUUAUGGGAAAUAAAUGUGACUGUACCCCAUUUUCAUCCAUUAACAUUCUAAACACCUUGUUCAAAAUGCCCAGGAGUAUUUCUG
rnacentral:lncRNA from 1 species